rnacentral:lncRNA from 1 species
GAUUAGGUCACUAGUCGAUUCGAGCUGACCCAUGUCAUUAAGACAAUCAGUAUGACUAAUUCAGGUGUCCUUAGACCAGCUUGUGUCUACUCUUCUACAUGACUUGGUGAAGUCAAUGAGAGGAUUUACGACUUGUAGAUCCUCUAAAUUAUUAAAUUCUUAAAAUGAUAUAGUUAUGAAGAUAACUUAUUCACAACCUCCCAUUAAGGUGCUUGAUAAUGAAUCCAAUAUUCCAA